CACCUGGUCUUGCUGUCGUUAGAAGCACGUCACCGGGAGUCCAGCGUGCAGAAUGAGGUUUUCGCUGGGGACAAGAGGAGAUGGUUGCACUGUGCGCUGGAGCUGACUAGGAGCGAAGGAGAGGCUGCCUCCAGGCCGUAUGGUCAGGAUGUCUUUGCCCAAAUGUGGUAAAUGACUACACCAAGCAGUCAGCCCAGGAGCGCGGUGGUCACCUAAACGUAGAUGAUGUCGGCUUGUGCAAACUGUCCUGGACUUCACAAGGUGAGCUGCUGCCCUCCUGCAAAGCUGACAGGCACAGCUGGCGCAGGAUGCUUGGAG
rnacentral:lncRNA from 1 species